UGUCUUCUAAAUAAAGACCAGUAUGAACGGCUAAAUGAGGACAAACCUGUCUCUUGCAACCAAUCAGUGAAACUGAUCUCCCGGUCCAAAAGCCGGGAUAACCCCAUAAGACGAGAAGACCCUGUGGAGCUUGAAACAAGCUACUAUGCACCACACAAGCUGCAACUAGUAGGCAGUUUUAAGUUGGGGCGACUUCGGAACCAAAAAAAACUUCCGAGCACAGAACCACCCACUCUUACCAAGACUAACAAGUCAAAGUCAAAAACGACCCAGUAACACUGAUCAACGAACUAAGUUACCCCAGGGAUAACAGCGCCAUCUUCUUCAAGAGUUCAUAUCGACAAGAAGGUUUACGACCUCGAUGUUGGAUCAGGACACCCCAAUGGUGCAGCCGCUAUUAAAGGUUCGUUUGUUCAACGAUUAAUAGU
rnacentral:rRNA from 1 species